GCCAAGUAAAAACGAGAGUCCUUGUAUUAUUCUGCGAGAUUAAUAAAGGUUGGGUUUUUACCCGUAAAUUGUGUGUGUUCUUACGUUUGGUUCAAUCUUGAAAGUUUUUAAGUAAGGCUGUGUUGUGCGGAAAAAGGCAAGGCUGAAGUAGCAGCGAGCUACUGCCGCGCGGUGUUAAUUUUGCGAAAAUUAGCCCCGUGACA
rnacentral:lncRNA from 1 species